CUCCUGACAUGAUUUAAUGUGCCAUUUUGCAUUUAACGAGGUGGUGUUCGAAGAAACCCAGAAAUUAUUGGAAAAAUAGUGAAGAAAGACUACCCCAGAAAUCAUAAAAAACAUUAAAAAACGAGAAGUGGUAGAGCAUCUCUUCCUCCGAUUAUUGGCACCUCUUGGUUCCCCCUCUCUUCUUUUCCGUGUCUAAAGCUGUAGCU
ensembl:ncRNA C27A7.10 ncRNA